GAUGAACGCUGGCGGCGUGCCUAAUACAUGCAAGUCGAGCGAACGGACCAGAAGCUUGCUUCUCUGAUGUUAGCCGCGGACGGGUGAGUAACACGUGGAUAACCCACCUAUAAGACUGGGCUAACUUCGGGAAACCGUAGCUAAUAACGGAUAAUAUUUUGAACCGCAUGGUUCAAAAGUGUAUGACGGUCUUGCUGUCACUUAUAGAUGGAUCCGCGCUGCAUUAGCUAGUUGGUUAGGUAACGGCUUACCAAGGCCACGAUGCAUAGCCGACCUGAGAGGGUGAUCGGCCACACUGGAACUGGGACACGGUCCAGACUCCUACGGGAGGCAGCAGUAGGAAAUCUUCCGCAAUGGGCGGAAGCCUGACGGAGCAACGCCGCGUGAGUGAUGAGGGUCUUCGGAUCGUAAAACUCUGUUAUUAGGGAAGAACAUAUGUGUAAGUAACUGUGCACAUCUUGACGGUACCUAAACAGAAAGCCACGGCUAACUACGUG
rnacentral:rRNA from 1 species